AGAAGGUUAGGUAGCUAGAUUGAGAGAAAGGCCCAUUUAAGAAGAAUCAAGAGGCUUCGUCUUCCUUCUUCAAAGUUUCUUGAUUCACUAAUACAGAAAUGGAGAUGCAAUUUGCUAGGCCCGCCAACCAUAAAGCCAUGUUGAAGUCCGAUCACAAAACUCCACAUGGCCAUAUCUCUGUUUUGUGAUCGUUGGAGGGUUAUGCCUUCCAGCGCUGUUCUUCCUCAAUCUGCGAUGGCUAAUGAUUUCGAUGGCCCAUUGUUCCUCUUCUCUCACCCAUUUCCGUUCUGGGUGGAAGCAGGCUCUUUCUGAUCAUGAUGAUGGUGACUUUUCCAAGUUUCUCCCCUGCAUUAGACCCAAAUCUUGUCGAUGGGUCGACUGUGAAGGCGGUUCGUGCAACAAGACGUCGUGGUUGGCAUACAAAUGUGGUUGUUUGAAGGGCUAACACUGCCUUUCCAUGCUUAUUCUGAGUUGUGUUUGAUACUCAAUUUGAAGGCUCAAUGAGUAUGGAUUCCAAGGA